UUAUUUUUCAGACAGGAAGCUAAGGCCUAGCAGCUAACUAUUCUGCCUACAGCCCUUCAAAACAACGUCGACAGAUCAGGCCUCAAGGCAAGAGAAGGUGGAGGGAGCUAUACUGAAGCUAAAACAUGACAUCAAACACAAUCUGACGGCAUAGGAAGGGAGGGAACUCCGGGAGGGCCGGAACCAACAGCCGGUCUGUAAUGUAUAGAUCAGGCUCUGGUUAAGUAUCAUCACUGGGGAUAAGGUUGUGUGUAUAAAGAAUGACAAACUCAGACAUUAAGUUGUGACAUCGAUGUCUUUCUUGUUGGAGUAUGGACUCCAUGCAGGGACAUCCAGUUAACUUGUACAAUCAUGAGACUCAAGAGUUUUAAAAGGAAAAGGCAUUUUGAUGUUGUGUGUUAUUUGCACAAUGGAAAGGAAAUUCUUAAUCAGUAUUUUUCUUAACUGUUUCAUAGAAGUGGUUAAUUUUUUAUGUAUUUGAUUAUUUGUCAUUUGUGUUUUAAUAUAUGUGUAUUUGUUAUUUUUUUUCAAUUGUCUGUAAUUUCCUUGCUGUGGUUUUCUGCAAUGGCAAUAAUAUGGGUGCAAGAGAUUUCCAGGUAAAUUAAAGUGAGAUUUGUAAAAAAAAAUACAUGCCCUAUCAUAAGAUUUCAUACCAAUACAUGUACUAUAUGCAUAUCUCUUCACCAUCUCUUAUAAAAAAAAAAAUGACUGGUAUUUUGAUAUUUUUUGUCUAAGUGUAUUCAAUCAAUACUUUUAUUUCUGAUCUUAUUUUUUGUACAUACAGAAAACAAAUAAGAGGGCUCAAUAAGCUCAUGCAAAUAUCCGGUAUAGUCCUGCACAUGAAUUAUUACAAUUAAAUAAACUUGUAACAAAAUCUUAUUUUCUAUUGGUUGAUACAUCCUUAUUCCUAAAAAAAAACCCAGUAGAAAUUAUUGGGUUUCUUAAAGCAGUAGGACCGUAAAUGUUCUAUCAUUACUUAAUGUACCAUCCUAAACAUAAUAGGAACCUCAGAAAACAUGUAUUUUUGACCAAAAUAAAAAACUUUGUGUAUCA
rnacentral:misc_RNA from 1 species